rnacentral:rRNA from 1 species
GUCUAAGGCCAUGCCACCCUGAAUAAGCCCGAUCUCAUCUGAUCUCGGAAGCUAAGAAGGGUCUGGUCUGGUUAGUACUUGGAUUGGAGGCCACUUAGGAAGACCAGGUGCUGUAGGUG